UUUCAAUCAAAACCUAUAAAUGUAUAACUGAUUAAUUAAUCAUGUUUCAAUAGGUUUUCUCAUCUCACUGAAGUACGUGCAAAUGCUACUUCCUUGCAUGCAUGCGAGCUAUAUGUUCCAGCUGGCAAUGACAUGUACUGAAGAGAAUCAUCUACUACGAAGAGCAUUGCUCUACACAAUUUUGUCACAUAAAUUUUACUUUUACAAAUAAUAUGUAUUGUGUGAAACAUACCAACAUGGGAGUUAAAAAUGGAAACAUAUUAAGUUGACACAAAUUUUAAUUAAAAUGUACUGGGAUACUGGGAACGACCUGUUCUUCAAGUGCCUGA